GCCGCUGUGGUGUAACGGUAGCACAAGGGCCUGUGGAGCCCUUGGACCGGGUUCGACUCCCGGCAGCGGCC
rnacentral:tRNA from 3 species